rnacentral:misc_RNA from 1 species
CAACAAUAAGAAUGAAUGCA